rnacentral:rRNA from 1 species
UACGUAGGGCGCAAGCGUUAUCCGGAAUUAUUGGGCGUAAAGAGCUCGUAGGCGGUUUGUCGCGUCUGCCGUGAAAGCCCCGGGCUCAACCUGGGAAUUGCAUUUGAGACUGCAUAGCUAGGGUGCGGAAGAGGGAAGCGGAAUUUCCGGUGUAGCGGUGAAAUGCGUAGAUAUCGGAAGGAACACCAGUGGCGAAAGCGGCUUCCUGGUCCAGCACCGACGUCAGGCACGAAAGCGUGGGGAGCAAACAGG